UCUCCGUUGGUGAACCAGCGGAGGGAUCAUUACCGAGUUUACAACUCCCAAACCCAAUGUGAACGUUACCAAACUGUUGCCUCGGCGGGGUCACGCCCCGGGUGCGUCGCAGCCCCGGAACCAGGCGCCCGCCGGAGGAACCAACCAAACUCUUUCUGUAGUCCCCUCGCGGACGUUAUUUCUUACAGCCCUGAGCAAAAAUUCAAAAUGAAUCAAAACUUUCAACAACGGAUCUCUUGGUUCUG
rnacentral:misc_RNA from 1 species